rnacentral:rRNA from 1 species
GUAGUUAGCCGGGGCUUUCUAAUGGGGUACCGUCAUUUUUUCGUCCCCCACAACAGAGGUUUACAAUCCGAAAACCUUCUUCCCUCACGCGGCGUUGCUGGGUCAGGCUUGCGCCCAUUGCCCAAUAUUCCCCACUGCUGCCUCCCGUAGGAGUCUGGACCGUGUCUCAGUUCCAGUGUGGCCGAUCAGCCUCUCAGCUCGGCUACCCAUCGCAGGCUUGGUGGGCUGUUAUCUCACCAACUACCUAAUGGGACGCGAACCCCUCCCUCAGCGGAUUGCUCCUUUGACCUCAUCCCGAUGCCGGGUCGUGGUCUUAUGCGGUAUUAGCACUUGUUUCCAGGUGUUAUCCCCCUCUGAAGGUCAGGUUGUUCACGCGUUACUCACCCGUUCGCCACUAAAAUUUAUCUUCCAUCCGAAAACUUCCGAUAAAUCUCCGUUCGACUUGCAUGUGUUAGGCACGCCGCCAGCGUUCGUCCUGAACCAGAUCAAAUUCUGA